GCACCCGUAGCUCAGCUGGAUAGAGCGCUGCCCUCCGAAGGCAGAGGCCACAGGUUCGAAUCCUGUCGGGUGCGCCA
rnacentral:tRNA from 499 species